CCACUUACCUGGCAGGGGAGAUACCAUGAUCAUGAAAGGUGGUUCACCCAGAGGCGAGGCUCAGCCAUUGCACUUCGGUUGUGCUGACUAGCCCGUGCGAAUUCCCCAAAUAUGGGAAUCUGACUGCAUAAUUUGUGGUAGUGGGGACUGCGUCUUGCUCUCCUGAU